rnacentral:rRNA from 1 species
GACGAACGCUGGCGGCGUGCUUAACACAUGCAAGUCGAACGCUGAAGCUUGGUGCUUGCACUGGGUGGAUGAGUGGCGAACGGGUGAGUAAUAAGUGAGUAACCUGCCCUUGACUCUGGGAUAAGCCUGGGAAACUGGAUCUAAUACUGGAUACGACAUGUCACCGCAUGGUGGUGUGUGGAAAGGGUUUUACUGGUUUUGGAUGGGCUCACGGCCUAUCAGCUUGUUGGUGGGGUAAUGGCUCACCAAGGCGACGACGGGUAGCCGGCCUGAGAGGGUGACCGGCCACACUGGGACUGAGACACGGCCCAGACUCCUACGGGAGGCAGCAGUGGGGAAUAUUGCACAAUGGGCGGAAGCCUGAUGCAGCGACGCCGCGUGAGGGAUGACGGCCUUCGGGUUGUAAACCUCUUUCAGCACGGAAGAAGCGAAAGUGACGGUACGUGCAGAAGAAGCGCCGGCUAACUACGUG